CGCCGUCGUGGGCGAGGCCGCGUCGGGCGCGUCCGGCGCGUCGAUCGGCCGCUCGGUGCGGCCGACGCCGA
rnacentral:tRNA from 1 species